UGACAGUUAUAGGCUCGAGUCCCCGACUCCCUAUCAACUUGUUGUGUUGUUGUGUGCUUGGAACUGAUGUAAGUCCAUCGAGUGGCAUUUGGGUUCCAGUGUGCGUGUGUUUAGGUUCGGAUGUCAAUGUAAGUCCAGUGAUUGGCAUUUGGGCUCCAUGUUUUGCCUCUUGUGUGUUUUGGUUCGGAUGCUGAUGUAAGUCCAGUGAUUGGCAUUCAGGCUCCAUGUUUGCCUUUGCCUGUGUUUGUGUGUGGCGUGUCAGCCGAGCUACGAAUGCUCUGAUUCU
rnacentral:lncRNA from 1 species